UCAUGCCUGCACCACUCUGUAUGAUGCUUGGUCACAAUGGGCGGUCCCCUUCUCCUGAACAUGGAUCCCAAGAACCAGGGAAGAAGGCCACUGCCUGUCUGCCCGGCAGCAGUGGGUGACAGAGUGGAGAUACAGGCCGUUGCCCUGCCACCAAGCCCUGCUGCAAGCAAGCGUCUCAGAGCAGACUGUUUCACAGGAGAAAAUGUGUAGGACUCACUGAGUUCUUAGAGAAUGUCACUUCAGUCCGCUUAGAAUGACAACAGGUUAGGCUGAGAAGAGACAGCUUAUCCAGCCCAUCUUUGCCAGCCCAAGACAGAGUGGCUGGCGGAGCAGGCACCCACCCGCGUGCAGUCCACGCUCUGCAGAGGGAAACAGGCAUCCUGGCUUCCAGUCAACCGCAUCUGGACAGCGGUGGAGGAGGUUGUGAGCUAGAGCCACACCCACGCACCCACGCCCACCUCUCCUGGGGGUGAGAUGUGACAGUCUAACCCAGAUCCCAAGUCACAUCCUGCCAAGACUUCACAGCGUUUCAAAGAACUUCUAAGUACAGGUUCUUUCCAAAUACACUGGUUUCUUAAAACUCACCAAAAAAAGUCAAACGCCAGAAAAGGGGAUUUCUGAAAGCCACCCACCAGGAUGGCAUCUGGUACUUGGUAGUUUCAAAUAUUAAGAAAAGAAAGAAAAAUCGGUGUUGAUUAGGCAGUAUCUAAUCUCCCUGAGCACAGGAAGUGAAGGCGAUUGAGCCUGAUUUGCAGGGGCCUUGAGGUUGUACAAAGCAGUCGCUCCCCAACAGGGCCCACUCACUGCCUGCAGAGUCCUCUGCUUUGCCGGCCUCCGACCGAGCACACCCGAGGGAAAGCACCAUUAAAUUCCCUGUGAGCUCUGCAACCAACGAGCCGCACAAGGGGAAGGCUGCUGGCAUGGAAACAUCACACAUGAGUUACAGGAGCGUGAUGGGCGCACGGCGCCGAGGGAGCCUUCACUGUGGUGGCUUCGUUGUGGUUCCUGGGCUUCCUCUAGGCAAGAUCACAUCUCCAGUGACGCCCAGCAGGGCGAUGGAGACACGCAUCACUUCCUCCCUCAGCAGAAGGUGCAAAUGAAAGACACGCCUCCAAGUCCUGGGCUGGCUGCUCCCUGUGCUGACUGCAAGAUCUCUGUGGGCUCUGGUUGUUUACCUGGGCAUUCGGGGCCUCGUGCGCAGAAGCCCCCACCCCAGCCAAAGCACACAUGCAGGAAUUCAGCUGUUUGGUUUUCCCCGGGGAAUCUCUGGAGAGCAUUGCUUAAUAUUCUUGAUUUAUUCUUCUUGACCAAAAAAUAA
rnacentral:lncRNA from 1 species